GCACAAGCGGUGGAGCAUGUGGUUUAAUUCGAUGCAACGCGAAGAACCUUACCUACUCUUGACAUCCAGAGAACUUAGCAGAGAUGCUUUGGUGCCUUCGGGAACUCUGAGACAGGUGCUGCAUGGCUGUCGUCAGCUCGUGUUGUGAAAUGUUGGGUUAAGUCCCGCAACGAGCGCAACCCUUAUCCCUUGUUGCCAGCGGUUCGGCCGGGAACUCAAAGGAGACUGCCAGUGAUAAACUGGAGGAAGGUGGGGAUGACGUCAAGUCAUCAUGGCCCUUACGGGUAGGGCUACACACGUGCUACAAUGGCGUAUACAAAGAGAAGCGACCUCGCGAGAGCAAGCGGACCUCAUAAAGUACGUCGUAGUCCGGAUUGGAGUCUGCAACUCGACUCCAUGAAGUCGGAAUCGCUAGUAAUCGUAGAUCAGAAUGCUACGGUGAAUACGUUCCCGGGC
rnacentral:rRNA from 1 species